AAGGGCUUUUAUCAGAGUUUGGGCAAGGGAGAAAGCUGAAGGGUGGUUCCAGUUUAAAUAGACAGAAAGGAUAUUGAUUGAGGUGGCCUUUGUCCGUUGGGCUGUCUGGGACAAGCGUCCUGACUGACCUUACAGCAGGUGGGAAGAGAAGUGAUGUCCUUCAGGUGCAAUGAAACAAGAGUCAAGGAGAACGGUGUAUCUAUUCUAGCAGGAGAGUCCUAAAGAAGGUGCCUUCCCAAAGUGGUGUUUGCAGUGUUUCAUGAAUGCCUUGAUCCACUGGGAGACACAAGUUGGUUUAGGUGGUGAUGGGUGGUCACGUAAAGAAAAAAAGAGGCUGAGUUAAGUGCUGGAAUGCAAAGUUAAUAUGAACCACGGCCCAAGAGAAAACUCAAUAUGAAUGAGAACUGGGAUGCGCAAUGUAAGAAGUGGGAGUUUGAGUCAUUUUAUUCUGUAGAGUCUUGUAAUACAGCACAGGCAGUCAGGGGUCAUGAAUGAGUGGAAGCACAGCACUGCCUGACAUGGGGAUUUGGGAGGGGUCCUGGAGCUGGGGACGGGUAGGAACACAUUUACCAAACAGUGAUGCCUCCCGACUUCCUGAAGACCAGGCUCAGAGCAAGACAGAGAAUCCGAGUGGUUUUAUUAACCUCCUCGACUCGGCUGGGUGAGUUGCCUGUGCAUAACCUUUGCUUUUUGUUUACGGACUGCAGAGCUGCUUGUGGGCUGCUGGUAAAAUAAAUGCCUUUGGAUUCUGGAUUGACCCUGUCACUGCUGCUCAGGGGCAAUCCAACAUGGAGAUCUUAGCAGGAGCACAGCUGCGUGAGCACUGGAGAGCAGCAAACAAAACUUUGCUCCUGUGGAUGAAUUGACAGCAGGAGGAGGUUACACUUGGCUCUCCCGCAAAGUCAUUUCCUAUGAGACGUGGCCUGUGGGACAGUCACAGAGGCAGGGGACCCAAUGCUGCUUGUCCCAAAGGGAUGCCAGCCUUGGUACUGCCACCGGGCAGCAGUGGGAUGAGACACCAAACACGCCUCGGCCAAGCAACGCAGCCAAGGGCAGACUUUCCUUCCUGCGGCAUGAUACAAAGCAAGACAAAUUGCAGAAAUCUUGGUGCCUCCUCCAACAGAAAUGCUGGCCUCUGCACGGCCAAACCUGCAUUGCACGAGGAACAUCGUCCCACCUACCCAUGGAUCUGCCUGGGAGUAAAAGGUGUACAUUGCAAGGCCAUCCACAGUAAGUGCCAUGGGACGAGCUGCAUUAUUUUCACCCAAAUAUUUCUUCUGGUAGAGCAAUUUGAUGAAGAAAGUAAUCCAAGCCUCCCCCUGCCAGUUUUGCAGCACACCAAGGAGUGGCCAAAGCCAAGGUUCAAAGCUGUGCUCAUGGAGGAAAAAAAGAUACAAGCAAGCAGUGACUGCCUUCAUUGUAUGGUUUAGUUUUGACUAAACUCAAGUCACUUUUAAAUUCUCAGACUUCAGGGGGCUUCUCUCUCACUUCUG
rnacentral:lncRNA from 1 species